rnacentral:rRNA from 1 species
GGGCCCGCACAAGCAGCGGAGCGUGUGGUUUAAUUCGAGGCUACACGAAGAACCUUACCUGGGUUUGACAUACAAGUAGUAGUGAAGCGAAAGCGGAACGACCUUCGGGAGCUUGAACAGGUGCUGCAUGGCUGUCGUCAGCUCGUGCCGUGAGGUGUUCGGUUAAGUCCGCAAACGAGCGCAACCCUCGGCGUUAGUUACAAGUGUCUAACGCAACUGCCCGUGAGAAACGGGAGGAAGGUGGGGAUGACGUCAAGUCAGCAUGGCCUUUAUAUCCAGGGCUACACACACGCUACAAUGGGCGGUACAACGGGUCGCGAAGCCGCGAGGUGGAGCCAAUCCAGAAAGCCGUUCGUAGUUCGGAUUGCAGGCUGCAACUCGCCUGCAUGAAGUCGGAGUUGCUAGUAACCGCAGGUCAGCUAUACUGCGGUGAAUACGUUCCCGGGCCUU